UUUCCUGUGAGCCGUGGCCCUUCCAUUCCAUUCCAUACCUUCGUAUCCAUCGGGCAGUAGUAGCUCGCUGAAGCUCGUUUCGAAGAAGAGGGACCCUUUGAUGGUAAUCAAACGCCAUGUGUUUACGGAUUAAUUUUCUGUAAUGUGUCCCCCGGAAUAAGUAGGAAUGAUCAUCAAAGGGUUGUUCAGAAGAUAUGAAAGAUGGAACCCUGUGCAUCCAACUUUCGGAGCCUUUUGGGGCAUGGGAUUUGGUUUAGGAUGUGGUGUUGGAUGGGGUCCUGGUUUUGGCCCUGAGGUGGUUGGCUAUGUUGGAGCUGGCUGUGGUGUUGGGUUUAGCGUGGGCUUCACUGUGGCUGGCUUUGGCAUUGGUCUUCCUGCCAAUUACCUCUUUGAAGUGCCGUACAAUGUAGUUACGGCAGUCAGAAGUAAUUCUUCAGAGCUCGGCCAAUUUGGUGGUCUUAUUUCAAGGAAAAGCAUUGGUGGUGGUGGCUGGAAUAUUGCACCACAUGUCUCGUUCUUCCCUACAGAAGCUGGCAGAAAGCUGUCUAGCUUUAGGAGAAAACAUUUUCUUCAACCGACAGCCAACUUGUUUGACAUGAAUUUUCCGUUACAAUCUGGGGAUGUUUGGAAAUGUCUCGGAGCAUUUGGCAGUCGACUUGUUCAUCCUCGUAAGGUGCCACACCUUGGAAAAUUAUAUUUCAACUAUCUCCAGUUCUAUUGCUUUCCUUGGCUUGCAGUUCUAUAUUUCUCAUUUGUUUCCUACGUUUCCUACGGCAAGACAAACUGUGGCCAGUUGCACAAUAGAAGUGCUUUUGGUUAAAUCAUGGAUUGCACACAUAGACAGCACAGUUACCUAGCUGUUUUGUUGAGUUGAACUGCAUUCAGGUAUGGAUGUGCAGCUGAUGUCGGAAUACAGGGUUGAGAGUUCACCAGUUGACAAAAAGGAACUUGAUCUAACUGGCUGCCUUGCCUUACAGGAGAUGGGAGGAUACUUUAAGCAAAAUGAAACUGAAACUGAUUCCGAUACAAGGAAAACACAACUGCUUGGAUUUUUUACAUGUCGAGACUUGCUAGAUGUUAACUACUUCUAUGCUGUGGACGGAUCUGACAUUAAACGACUUGACGUUUAUCAUCCUUUUCACAAUUUUUUAUAGUUGGUUAGAAGAUUACAAAGUGAUUCAUCUAUGUCACCUGCAGGUUUGAAGGAUUGAUAUCAUAGAGAUCUCCCAGCAGAAAAUCAUACAUACUGUGGAAAUGGCUCAUGGUCACAAGAUUCAUUUUAGCAUAGUGUGAACUAUACAUGUUGUUGGUGGGUGGCAACUGAAGUGAAGAGUGCGGCAAGAUUGUAUGUGUUGGUAGCGAAAGUGCAGAAAAUUUCGAAGGCAAAGCUUUGGUUGAGCUUUCAAUUAUGAUGCAUAUCCUUGAGAUUCAAUGAGUUGAUGGGACACAAGGAACGGUGGAAGAGGAACGACGACACUAAUUGGUAAUUGUCGAUGUUUCGAAGGGAAGAGACAGACACCUUGACAUUUAUUUCAGGUGCUCUCAUUUAUCCAGACCACCUCUUUGAGGCAAGGUUAAUAGCUUCAACAAGUAAAGCCAGCCUUACUCAGUAAUACCCUUUGUGAAUCUCUCUCUCUCUCUCUCUCUCUGUCUGCCAAUUGAACUCGGUAAAUAUUGGGUGAAAUCAAACGAGUCAGGUUGACUCAGCAAUUUUUCUUGUGGCUUGGCUUCUUCUUGGAAGGGUUAUUAACUUUAAACAAGUUGCCAUCGACACGGACAUGAAGAUUGACAAUGAGAUUGAGCUGAGAAUAGUUGGCGUAGCCAACCUCCAUUGUGAAAGCCGCGAUAUAUUACACGGAAGGUGGUAAGCAGUUGUUGAAUGAGGGUGGCAUGGCAUGUCAUGAAAAAACACUAGACCUAAAUACCUUAAUUUGCUGAGGAUCGAUUUUCGUGCGAGUCCAUCGAAUCGUUUCUACAUACUUGUUAAGGAUCAGGA